rnacentral:rRNA from 1 species
AUUGAACGCUGGUGGAAUGCUUUACACAUGCAAGUCGAGCGGCAGCACGGGGGUAACCCUGGUGGCGAGCGGCGAACGGGUGAGUAAUACAUCGGAACAUGCCCAGUCGUGGGGGAUAACACUUCGAAAGAAGUGCUAAUACCGCAUACGUCCUGAGGGAGAAAGCGGGGGAUCGCAAGACCUCGCGCGAUUGGAGUGGCCGAUGUCAGAUUAGCUAGUUGGUGGGGUAAAGGCCUACCAAGGCAACGAUCUGUAGCUGGUCUGAGAGGAUGAUCAGCCACACUGGAACUGAGACACGGCCCAGACUCCUACGGGAGGCAGCAGUGGGGAAUUUUGGACAAUGGGGGCAACCCUGAUCCAGCCAUUCCGCGUGAGUGAAGAAGGCCUUCGGGUUGUAAAGCUCUUUCGGCAGGAACGAAACGGUGAGCUCUAACAUAGCUUGCUAAUGACGGUACCUGAAGAAGAAGCACCGGCUAACUACGUG